rnacentral:rRNA from 1 species
UACGUAGGGGGCAAGCGUUGUCCGGAAUUAUUGGGCGUAAAGAGCGCGUAGGCGGUCCGAUAAGUCGGCUGUGAAAGUCAGGGGCUCAACCCUUGGAAGCCGGCCGAUACUGUCGGACUAGAGUCCGGAAGAGGCGAGUGGAAUUCCCGGUGUAGCGGUGGAAUGCGCAGAUAUCAGGAGGAAUACCCAUAGCGAAGGCAGCUCGCUGGGACGUUACUGACGCUGAGGCGCGAAAGCGUGGGGAGCGAACAGG